UACAAUUCCACGAGCACGACACCAGCCGAACCUGACCCAUCUCCAGCAACGCCAACUCCUCUCAACCCGAAUCCAAUGACCUGAUAACAUCCCCAACAACUCAUCAAUAAUCCAAACAAACCGACCCCCCUCCAUGCGCGAGAAAAUCCUCGAAUCUUCUAGAAUAUAGUGAGUUGUCUCCUCCCAACGUUCAAGUCCCUAAAAUUUUGGAUUAAUCCCUACAAAUUCGUACAUAUUUAGGAGAAUUUCAUUGGUUCUUGAAGAUGAUUUCCUUCUCCCAAUUUCUAUUGGUUGCCUAUUUUCUCAAAUUCUCCAAAAAAAUUCAAAUUUUGGUGCAACUUAGGGGCUGAAAAUUGUUCCUGGGUUUGAAUUUCAAAAGCAAGAUCCUAUUUCAAAAAUUCUAAAAUUACCCCCUAUUUCAAUUUUUUCCACAUCGUUGAGCUCCAAGGGGACCCUAUUUUUCAUAUUCUACAAAUAGCUUUCUUUAGAGCAAAAAAAAAAAAAGGGGGGGGGGGGGGGGGGGGGGGGGGGGUUGGAAAUUCUUAAAAAAAGUAGAAGAAAAAUUUUAGAGCACAAUCAAUUCCUUUAUUAAAAAAUAUUUUUGAAAAGAUCAUCGGAAUAGCAGCGAAGCUCUUUGGGUCGCAAUCGGAAUCCUGACGAUAGCUUGUUGUCCCGUUUUGUUGCUCCUUAACAGUUGCAUGGCAUCUAUGGCACAGUUAUACGGCAAUCGCUUGAUCAUUAACGGAUGUCACCAAUAAUGAGGAGUGGACAAAGCUAAAAGGGCGAAGGCCGAUAGAAGAAACAUUCGGGAACUAGUAUUUAUUAUCCCCCACGCGGGACAUUACUCUUCUUCUCAUGUUAUUUUCCCUUUCCCUAAAGAUUGUUUCCCUUUUGUGAAACUUUUGUAGGCAUUUAUGCCAUUUAUGUAUACCUAUGAAGGUUUUAGGGGGAUAAUGGAUUGGC